rnacentral:rRNA from 1 species
AAUGAACGUUGGCGGCAUGGAUUAGGCAUGCAAGUCGGGGGAAUCCCAGCAAUGGGGGAACCGGCGUAAGGGGCAGUAAGGCAUGGGUACCUACCUUGGGGUUCGGGAUAGCCAUCAGAGAUGGUGGGUAAUACCGGAUGACGUCGUGAGACCAAAGAUUUAUCGCCCUUAGAGGGGCCCAUGUGAUAUUAGCUAGUUGGUGGGGUAACGGCCCACCAAGGCGAAGAUGUCUAGCGGGUGUGAGAGCAGGACCCGCGCCACUCGCACUGAGACACUGGCGAGACACCUACGGGUGGCUGCAGUCGAGGAUCUUCGGCAAUGGGCGCAAGCGUGACCGGGCGAUGCCGCGUGAGCGAUGAAGGCCUGCGGGUUGUAAAGCUCUUUAGUGGGGGAGAAAAGCCGCAAGGUGUGAUCUAUCCCAAAAAUAAGCACGGGCUAAGUUCGUGCCAGCAGCCGCCGUAA